GAUGAACGCUAGCUACAGGCUUAACACAUGCAAGUCGCAGGGUAACAUGAGGAAAGCUUGCUUUCCUUGAUGACGACUGGCGCACGGGUGAGUAACGCGUAUCCAACCUUCCCAUAACUACGGGAUAACCCGUUGAAAGACGGCCUAAUACCGUAUGACAUCGUUUGCUGACAUCAAAUAACGAUUAAAGGUUUAGCGGUUAUGGAUGGGGAUGCGUCUGAUUAGCUUGUUGGCGGGGUAACGGCCCACCAAGGCGACGAUCAGUAGGGGUUCUGAGAGGAAGGUCCCCCACAUUGGAACUGAGACACGGUCCAAACUCCUACGGGAGGCAGCAGUGAGGAAUAUUGGUCAAUGGGCGAGAGCCUGAACCAGCCAAGUAGCGUGAAGGAUGACGGCCCUAUGGGUUGUAAACUGCUUUUAUGUGGGGAUAAAGUGCGUGACGUGUCAUGCAUUGCAGGUACCACAUGAAUAAGGACCGGCUAAUUCCGUG
rnacentral:rRNA from 1 species